UACGUAGGGGGCAAGCGUUGUUCGGAAUUACUGGGCGUAAAGGGCGCGUAGACGGCCUGCUAAGUCGAACGUGAAAUCCCUGGGCUUAACCCAGGAACUGCGUCCGAUACUGGUUGGCUUGAAUCCGGGAGAGGGAUGUGGAAUUCCAGGUGUAGCGGUGAAAUGCGUAGAUAUCUGGAGGAACACCGGUGGCGAAGGCGACAUCCUGGACCGGUAUUGACGCUGAGGCGCGAAAGCCAGGGGAGCAAACGGG
rnacentral:rRNA from 1 species